rnacentral:rRNA from 1 species
CCCUUAGAUGUUCUGGGCCGCACGCGUGCUACACUGAACGGUUCAAUGGGUAAGGUAGUGCGAAAGCAUGACCUAAUCCCGAAAUCCGUUCGUGCUGGGGAUAGAAGCUUGCAAUUAUUAAUCUUCAACGAGGAAUGCCUAGUAAGCGCAAGUCAUCAGCUUGCGUUGAUUACGUCCCUGCCCUUUGUACACACCGCCCGUCGCUCCUACCGAUUGAAUGGUCCGGUGAAGCGUUCGGACCGUGGCCUUUGGACGGUUCGCCGUCUGUUGGCUGCGGGAAGUUCGUUAAACCUUAUCAUUUAGAGGAAGGAGAAGUCGUAACA